rnacentral:rRNA from 1 species
GACGAACGCUGGCGGCGUGCCUAACACAUGCAAGUCGAACGGAAAGGCCCUGCUUUUGUGUGGUGCUCGAGUGGCGAACGGGUGAGUAACACGUGAGUAACCUGCUCUCGACUUUGGGAUAACAUCAGGAAACUGGGGCUAAUACCGGAUAGGAGCCCCGGCAGCAUGGUGGGGGGGGGAAAGUUUCGGCGGUUGGGGAUGGACGCGCGGCUUAUCAGCUUGUUGGUGGGGUAGUGGCUUACCAAGGCUUUGACGGGUAGCCGGCCUGGGAGGGUGACCGGCCACAUUGGGACUACGGUACGGCCCAGAGUGCUACGGGAGACAGCGGUGGGGAAUAUUGCACAAUGGGCGGGAGCCUGAUGCAACGACGCCGCGUGCGGAAUGACGGCCUUCGGGUUGUAAAGCGCUUUCGCCUAUGACGAAGCGUGAGUGACGGUAAUGGGUGAAGAAGCACCGGCUAACUACGUG